AUUGAACGCUGGCGGCAUGCCUUACACAUGCAAGUCGAACGGCAGCAUGAUCUAGCUUGCUAGAUUGAUGGCGAGUGGCGAACGGGUGAGUAAUACAUCGGAACGUGCCCUGUAGUGGGGGAUAACUAGUCGAAAGAUUAGCUAAUACCGCAUACGACCUGAGGGUGAAAGUGGGGGACCGCAAGGCCUCAUGCUAUAGGAGCGGCCGAUGUCUGAUUAGCUAGUUGGUGAGGUAAAGGCUCACCAAGGCGACGAUCAGUAGCUGGUCUGAGAGGGCGAUCAGCCACGCUGGGACUGAGACACGGCCCAGACUCCUACGGGAGGCAGCAGUGGGGAAUUUUGGACAAUGGGGGCAACCCUGAUCCAGCAAUGCCGCGUGUGUGAAGAAGGCCUUCGGGUUGUAAAGCACUUUUGUCCGGAAAGAAAUCGCACUUACUAAUAUUAGGUGUGGAUGACGGUACCGGAAGAAUAAGGACCGGCUAACUACGUGCCAGCCGCCGCGGUAACAC
rnacentral:rRNA from 1 species